AAAGGAAUUGACGGGGGCCCGCACAAGCGGUGGAGCAUGUGGUUUAAUUCGAUGCUACGCGAAAAACCUUACCUAGACUUGACAUCCUGUGCUACCCUGUGAAAGCAGGGGUUCCCGCAAGGGACGCAGAGACAGGUGCUGCAUGGCUGUCGUCAGCUCGUGUUGUGAGAUGUUGGGUUAAGUCCCGCAACGAGCGCAACCCUCGCCGUUAGUUACCAUCAUUAAGUUGGGCACUUUAACGGAACCGCUUGGCUAUAAGCCAGAGGAAGGUGGGGAUGACGUCAAGUCCUCAUGGCCCUUAUGUCUAGGGCUACACACGUGCUACAAUGGGAGUGACAAAGCGUUGCUACUUUGCAAAAAGAUGCUAAUCGCAAAAACGCUCCCUCAGUUCGGAUUGGAGUCUGCAACUCGACUCCAUGAAGCUGGAAUCGCUAGUAAUCGCGGAUCAGAACGCCGCGGUGAAUACGUUCCCGGGCCUUGUACACACCGCCCGU
rnacentral:rRNA from 1 species